UACGUAGGGGGCAAGCGUUGUCCGGAUUUAUUGGGCGUAAAGAGCGUGUAGGCGGCCAGGGAGGUCCGUUGUGAAAUCUCUGGGCUUAACUCAGAGGCUGCUCCCGAAACUGCCGUGCUUGAGUGCGGGAGAGGCGAGUGGAAUUGCAGGUGUAGCGGUGAAAUGCGUAGAUAUCUGCAGGAACACCCGUGGCGAAGGCGGCUCGCUGGACCGCAACUGACGCUGAGGAACGAAAGCUAGGGGAGCAAACAGG
rnacentral:rRNA from 1 species